rnacentral:rRNA from 1 species
UCCUGAUGGCUCACAUGAAGUUUCGUGCCGUUCCGACCUCGUUUGAUACGGUUAUGGUUAACCACACGGCCCCUCGGGCCCGACCCGAGCCCAGUCAACGUUUUGACCCGAUCAAAUCGGCCCGUGACCCGAAACGACCCUACUUGGGCCCUACAACAGCCACGUAAAGUUUCGGGAUGAUCCGACGUUCUUUCAUGGGGUUACGGACAAUCCACGCCAAACAAGCGUCACGGGCCGACCGAGCCGGGCCAACGGGCCCUCGGGACCCGAAAACUGAAUUUUUUUUCAUCCAAACCCAUUAAAACACGUUACCGAGGUCUCACGCAAAAUUUCAUGCCAAUCCGACGUCGUUUGAUGGGGUUUUGAGAUAUUAUGAUUCCUCAAAAAUUUAAUGUCUGUUCCUGUCACUUAGCUUUUUGUGCAAAAUGUAUAUAUAGGGGAGGGGUGGGUGUUGAGCAGCCCAUGCCCGGGCAAGGCAUGCCAGCGCCCAAGCCAAAGGAGGCUGGUGGCGUGCGUAUAACAGCUCAAAUGCCCCAACGAUGACCGAGAACAAGCGCCCAUCUCCCCUCCUUCCCCCCCACCAAGCGCCCCUCCCCCCCCAUGUUGCCUGCCCACUCGCACAGCUACUCGUGAUUUCAUGCCCAGCGACUAGUGAAUGUGCCUCGACGACCAGCAAACCUCGAAAAUUAUGAUUCCUCGUAAAAUUAAUGUCUGUUCCUGUCACUUUACUUUUUGUGCAAAAUGUAUAUAUAUAGGGGAGACCAGGGGCUUGAGCAACCCCUGUGCCCAAGCAAGGGUCAGAUGGAAGCACACGAGACGCGAGGUUUAAAGCCUAUACAAGCAAGGCGUCUGUCUCCCCAAGCCCCAUUGCCUAUAAAACAAGCCCGAUGCCUUGUAAAUGCCCCACACGAUGCCUAUAAACGACAACGAUGUUUGCUAGUUAAUCGAUCGACGCCCCACACCUUGCAGCAUGUUGCCUAGUAAACAAGCCAUGCUGCCUUGGAAGCGCCCCACAUCAUGGCAUGUUGCCUAGCACGCUGCCCUUGUUUCCAGCACGGCGACCUGAAAGCGUGGCCUGACGACGUGCUUGCCUUCGAAAAUUAUGAUUCCUCAAAAAAUUAAUGUCUGUUCCUGUCACUUUACUUUUUGU